rnacentral:rRNA from 1 species
AGUGAACGCUGGCGGUAGGCCUAACACAUGCAAGUCGAACGGCAGCACAGGAGAGCUUGCUCUCUGGGUGGCGAGUGGCGGACGGGUGAGGAAUACAUCGGAAUCUGCCCAGUCGUGGGGGAUAACGUAGGGAAACUUACGCUAAUACCGCAUACGACCUUCGGGUGAAAGAGGGGGAUCGCAAGACCUCUCGCGAUUGGAUGAGCCGAUGUCGGAUUAGCUAGUUGGCGGGGUAAUGGCCCACCAAGGCGACGAUCCGUAGCUGGUCUGAGAGGAUGAUCACCCACACUGGAACUGAGACACGCUCCAGACUCCUACGGGGGGCGGCAGGGGGGAAUAUUGGACAAUGGGCCCAAGCCUGACCCACCAAUACCGGGGGGGUGAAGAAGUCCUUCGGUUUGUAAAGCCCUUUUGUUGGAAAAAAAAUUUUUCAGGCUAAUACCCUGGGGGGAGGAGGGUCCCCAAAGAAUAAGCCCCGGCUAACUUCGUG